UGGGGAAUAUUGCACAAUGGGGAAGCCCUGAUGCAGCAACGCCGCGUGAAGGAAGACGGUUUUCGGAUUGUAAACUUCUGUUCUUAGUGAAGAAUAAUGACGGUAGCUAAGGAGCAAGCCACGGCUAACUACGUGCCAGCAGCCGCGGUAAUACGUAGGUGGCAAGCGUUGUCCGGAAUUACUGGGUGUAAAGGGAGCGCAGGCGGGAGACCAAGUCAGCUGUGAAAACUACGGGCUUAACCUGUAGACUGCAGUUGAAAACUGGUUUUCUUGAGUGAAGUAGAGGUUGGCGGAAUUCCGAGUGUAGCGGUGAAAUGCGUAGAUAUUCGGAGGAACACCGGUGGCGAAGGCGGCCAACUGGGCUUUAACUGACGCUGAGGCUCGAAAGUGUGGGGAGCAAACAGGAUUAGAUACC
rnacentral:rRNA from 1 species